UCAGAUGGCUGGAUGGCUGCCCUUCCUGAAAAGGGGGGGAGGAAAGUCCGGGCACCACGCAAGCACGGUGCCGGUUAACGACCGGCGGGGGCGACCCUAGGGAAAGUGCCACAGAAAGCAAACCGCCUGUGUAUACAUGGGUAAGGGUGAAAGGGUGCGGUAAGAGCGCACCGCGUCCUUAGCAAUAAGGACGGCACGGUAAACCCCACCGGGUGCAAGAUCGAAUAGAGGUGGCCAGAGACUUCGGGUUUCAGGCAGGCUUGUGUGCCGCCGCCUGGGUGUAUCGCAAGAGGCGUCUGGCAACAGCCGCCCCAGAUGAAUAGUCAUCUACCCUCGCGCGCAAGCAAAAGGGAGACAAAACCCGGCUUACAGGCCAUCUGAUCCU
rnacentral:RNase_P_RNA from 1 species